GACAUUUCUAUUAAUUUGUAAAAAAAUCUAUAUAGUUUUCAUUAAUUUUUAUUUAAUUUUUGGUUUUGGUUAUUUUAGUACAUCAAGUUAAACGAAAUGAAAAUAAAAAAUGUUGCCUUGAAUGUUAAAAUAAAAUACAUUUUUUUAAAUAUUUUAUUUCAUUUCAGUUUUUUAUUUCAGUUAACGGAAAUUAGUUCUCAUGCUGCAUUUUUUGAUCUUACUGCUAAACCGUGGGCUUGGCUCCUGAGUGAUGUUGGGUUAGUGAUACUAAACGUAGCAAUGCUACUUACUUAACUGCAUGAUUUUCUCCCCCAAACCAGUUCAGUCCAAACCCGACCCGCAGCCGAAUCCAGAGAUUUCAAUGGAAGCUUGUUUCUGACACGGCAUGAACAAAUAAAAAGGCGAGGGGUGAGAGGAAGGGCAACGGGGCGAACGAACGACGGGAACCUGGAGAGAGAGAUUACCUGAACAGCUGGGAUUGUGCAGGUGGGUGUUCACACACACACACACACACACACACACACACACACACACACACACACACACACACACACACACACACACACACACACACACACACACUCACACACACACACAUACACACACACACACACACACUCGCACACAGUCACACACACACACACACACACACACACUCACACUCACAUACACACACACACACACACUCGCACACAAUCACACACACACACACACACACAAUCACACACACACACACACACACACACACACACACAAUCACACACACACAAACUUUUUUAAUCAAGAUGCAAGGCCUCAAAUGAAUCAGUGAUCGUUUGAAUCAUUUUUGAAUAUUCUGAAUCAUUGAUUUUUGUUGUAUGGAGAUAAGCAGCAUGACCAUUCUGCCCAGUAUCUUCUUUUAUGUUCCACAGAAAGAAGGUCAUACAGGUUUGGAACAACAUGAAAGUGAGUAAAUAAUGACUGAUAUUAUGUGAACUGUUCAUUUUUUGUUGAUCGCUUCAGUAAAAAUCAGUA
ensembl:lncRNA